CCCUUAGACGUUCUGGGCCGCACGCGCGCUACACUGAUGAAUUCAACGAGCUCCUAACCUAGGCCGAAGGGUCCGGGUAAUCUUUGAAAUUUCAUCGUGAUGGGGAUAGAUUAUUGCAAUUAUUAAUCUUCAACGAGGAAUUCCUAGUAAGCGCGAGUCAUCAGCUCGCGUUGAUUACGUCCCUGCCCUUUGUACACACCGCCCGUCGCUCCUACCGAUUGAAUGGUCCGGUGAAAUGUUCGGAUCGCGGCAAAUCGGACGGGUAACCGUCAGGUUCGCUGCGAGAAGUUCAUUAAACCUUAUCAUUUAGAGGAAGGAGAAGUCGUAACA
rnacentral:rRNA from 1 species